rnacentral:rRNA from 1 species
UACGUAGGGGGCGAGCGUUGUCCGGAUUUAUUGGGCGUAAAGAGCUCGUAGGCGGUUUGGCAAGUCGGGUGUGAAAACUCCGGGCUCAACUCGGAGACGCCACUCGAUACUGCUAUGACUCGAGUCCGGUAGGGGAGUGCGGAAUUCCUGGUGUAGCGGUGAAAUGCGCAGAUAUCAGGAGGAACACCGGUGGCGAAGGCGGCACUCUGGGCCGGUACUAACGCUGAGGCGCGAAAGCGUGGGGAGCAAACAGG